ACUACCGAGGCCAGGCGUGAAUCAGAGACCGAGAAAGAAAAAGGGUCGCGUGAGGAUUGAGCCAGACCCCGUGCUCGGCCCUGGCUCAGUCAGUUGUCAUGAUUUUAUAGUCCCUCUUGAGGGGGGACGGAAACUCCUUCGUUGGGGAUCAGCUAAGUCAAAAAGCCGUGAGUUCAGUUCGCUGCCCGAGGUGACAAGAAACUUGCUUGGAUGAAGUCAUGUGAGCUGAACCGAUUGGCCCGAAUCCUCAAAGAGGGGAGUGUCAGGGCGCGCGGCUCCCUCGGAGAGGCUGAGGUAACGCUGGCACCUUCCCGAGAGUCCCCGGACGCCUGGCUUCUAAGUCUCUGUGGAAAGCACUUCUAGCUGGGCGUUGGCGCGCCUGACGAAUUGUGCAGUCACUGAGCAGUUGUGGCGAUUGGAAAAUCAGUUUCACGCCCCAGGAAUGUCUACGAGAGCCGUCCCCGCCCCGCUUCCCAGACCCAGCCAAAAAAAAAAAAAAAAAAUCCAAAGCAAAACCAACUGAGAAAUGGAGCUAGAAAUUGAUGAGGGAUUCCUAGCACCUCAGAAUGUUGACUUGGUAACUUUAUUUUUAAGUCUUUAACAAAUUGCGUUUAUGUCACGUAGAAAUUUUAAGCAGCUUCCGGGGGUUUUGUGUCCCACUUGGAACCAACUUCAGAGCAGCUUGCGCAUAAAUUGGAAUUCUGUGAAUCGUACCUCCGGUUAGAGCACUUAACACACGUAGCGUGUAAACAAAUAUUUCCAACUUUGUCGGCGACGGGAUCACUAUGCAAGGCGGGCUUACAAAAAUCCAUGGCGAAUGAAAUCUCACUUCUGAAAGUGGAAAACGCAAAUUCAAGUAGCGUCCGGAUACCUUGCGCCCAUUCAGACGGGGACUGAAGGCUAAAUUAAUACAGUCUUCCUAAAGGAACUAUUUGAAAGGAUGUUACAAAAGUAGGAACACCUUUGGACCCAGCAAUUCUACUUUUUGGAAUUUAUCCUCAAGACAGUCUUGAAGAACACGAACAACGGUGUUCGUGGCAACGUGGCUUCUAAUAUCAAAGCGUCGUUCACCACUAAAAUGCCCAAUAUAAAUUACAUCACCUCCUGGUGCCUCAAUUUUAUUUUCUCAUCUGUGAGAAGCAGGAACAAUCAUAGGGUUGUGAGGAUGGAAUGGAUGAAUACAAACCAAACCCUUAAGUGCCUAGCAUGUAGUAAGCACUAAAUAAAUAUUGGACCAAGCAUUCCAAGAGAUACGAAGACCUGAGGUUUGUUUUGUCCUGCCUCCAUGUUCAUGGUGAGCCCUCAGCCUGCAAUAUCCUCUUGCAAUUUGUCGGAAUCACCCUCAUUUUUCAAGUAUUCACUGGUGGUUUCUUGCACAAAGCCUUUUUGGAUCCCCCAAACAAGAGAGAGAGAGCACGAACAGGGGAGUGGCGACAGAGAGGAAGACAGAAUCCGAAGCAGGC